rnacentral:rRNA from 1 species
CCUACGGGUGGCAGCAGUGGGGAAUAUUGCACAAUGGGGGAAACCCUGAUGCAGCGACGCCGCGUGAGUGAAGAAGUAUUUCGGUUUGUAAAGCUCUAUCAGCAGGGAAGAAAAAAGACGGUACCUGACUAAGAAGCCUCGGCUAACUACGUGCCAGCAGCCGCGGUAAUACGUAGGGGGCAAGCGUUAUCCGGAUUUACUGGGUGUAAAGGGAGCGUAGGCGGUAUGGCAAGUCAGAAGUGAAAGCUCAGGGCUUAACCCUGGGACUGCUGUGGAAACUGUUAGACUAGAGUGCUGGAGAGGUAAGUGGAAUUCCUGGUGUAGCGGUGAAAUGCGUAGAUAUUAGGAGGAACACCAGUGGCGAAGGCGGCUUACUGGGCAGUAACUGACGUUGAGGCUCGAAAGCGUGGGGAGCAAACAGGAUUAGAUACCCCUGUAGUC